rnacentral:rRNA from 1 species
GCGACGUACUGGCCAGCGGGCGUGUUAGUAAGGAGGUGCCAAGUGUUAUGCGGAAGCAUGGGGUUUAAAGGGUCCGUAGGCGGCCUUAUAAGUCAGCGGUGAAAGUGUUUGGCUUAACCAAAAAAUUGCCAUUGAUACUGUAGGGCUUGAAUAUUUGUGAAGUAACUAGAAUAUGUAGUGUAGCGGUGAAAUGCUUAGAUAUUACAUGGAAUACCAAUUGCGAAGGCAGGUUACUAACAAAUGAUUGACGCUGAUGGACGAAAGCGUGGGUAGCGAACAGGAUUAGAUACCCGAGUAGUC